rnacentral:misc_RNA from 1 species
AAACAGAAUUUCGUAUUCGGGGUGUAAACACACACACCGCGAGAAAGUGAUGUUGAGGGCCGCCGACGCGUUCAUUCGUUAAUAUUUUUACAUUUUAAAAACUUUUUUUUUCAUUGUAAGUAUUGUUUUGUGUAGAAACAUUUUUGCUUAGUGAUACACAUGGAAUUAUACAUGUACUUUGGACCAUUUAUUGUUAGUCGCAAUUUCAGCGUAUUGCACAUAUAUUCACUAUCUUGCAUGUUAAUGACCUCCAUGUAGCUAACAAUUUCAAAAUUCCCACUAAAGGAGUGUUUUUACUUGGUAUUUGUAAUUUUAAACACUGAGUCUUUGUAUUACUGAGUCUAUGUAGAUAAUGGUUUGACUUUUGAUUGUUUUUCUCCUCGUUUUUUUGCAGAAAUGUUUCUAUAUAAAUCUAUUAUAAAAUAAAGAACAGUG